GUGGACGACUUUCCGGAGACGGAUUUCUUCCAGCAAUGGACCUGCACACAGGUGCUGCAUGGCUGUCGUCAGCUCGUGUCGUGAGAUGUUGGGUUAAGUCCCGCAACGAGCGCAACCCUCGCCUCUAGUUGCCAUCAUUCAGUUGGGCACUCUAGAGGGACUGCCGGUGAUAAGCCGAGAGGAAGGUGGGGAUGACGUCAAGUCCUCAUGGCCCUUACGGGCUGGGCUACACACGUGCUACAAUGGCGGUGACAGUGGGAUGCGAACCCGCGAGGGUAAGCAAAUCUCCAAAAGCCGUCUCAGUUCGGAUUGCACUCUGCAACUCGAGUGCAUGAAGUUGGAAUCGCUAGUAAUCGUGGAUCAGCAUGCCACGGUGAAUACGUUCCCGGGCCUUGUACACACCGCCCGUCACACCAUGGGAGUUGGCUUUACCCGAAGGCGCUGCGCUAACCCGCAAGGGAGGCAGGCGACCACGGUAGGGUCAGCGACUGGGGUGAAGUCGUAACAGGGUUAGCCGUA
rnacentral:rRNA from 1 species